GACGAACGCUGGCGGCGUGCCUAAUACAUGCAAGUCGAACGCAGUGGGGACGGGUGAGUAACACGUGGGUAACCUACCAUCAGAGGGGAUACCACUUGGAAACAGGUGCUAAACCGAUACUGAUGGAUGGACCCGCGGUGCAUUAGCUAGUUGGUGGGGUAACGGCUCACCAAGGCCAUGAUGCAUAGCCGACCUGGGGGGGUGAUCGGCCACACUGGGACUUGGACAGGGCCCAGACUCCUACGGGAGGCAGCAGUAGUGAAUCUUCGGCAAUGGACGAAAGUCUUACCGAGCAACGCCGCGUUAGUGAAGAGGGUUUGCGGAGCGUAAAACUCUUUUGUUGGAGAAGCGGUAUCUAACCAGAAAGCCACGGCUAACUACGUGCCAGCAGCCGCGGUAAUAC
rnacentral:rRNA from 1 species